CAUGGUAAUUGGCCAAUUUUGCCCUAACAGGUUUAGCUCAUUGGAUAGAGCGUCAGCCUGCGGAUUCAAGGGUCCCAGGUUCAAUUCCGGUCAAGGGCAUGUACCUUGG